CUAUACCCAUUUAUACGGUUUGACUAAAAUAUCAAAAUGAAAAUUUAGACCCCCCAAAUCUCUCUAUCGCACACAACACACACCAUCUGGUGAUCAGAACUAUUUCCCACCGCCGAACCAGAUUUCAACCCCAGAAUCAGAUAGUCACAUCUCCGGCGGUAUGAUGCCAUCUCCAUCAACUAGAUUUCAAUACACAGUGGUGGUCCAACAGAUUUCAAUCCAUUGGUGGUGGAAGGAGAAAGCCAAUAAAUUUCAAUCCAAGAGAUUUAAAUCCACAGAUUAAUCCUCAGGGGCAGUUCUAGAAGAUGGGGCGAGGACAGACACAAUCAUAAACAGGGUGUGUAUUGUGGAUGCAACCACUAAUACAAAUCCAAGUCCUCCAACUUUGAGCAUUGGCGGAUGGUAUUGCAUCAUCUUCCAAGUUUUAGUCUUUUUAUGCCUACUUAUGUUUGGGCUUGUUGACUGAUGGUACUGCAUCAGCAAGAGGUCAAUGAGGAUGCAUUGUGGGAACAUUAGAUGGAAACUGCAGUUUUUACGAUAUCAUUGGAAACUAUCCAUAUUAUUGGAUGUCAUCUGCAAAGAAAGAACCAACAUUCCUUAGAGAAAAUGAGAAAAACGACUACAACCGAGGCUAUGGGGAGAUGAAGUUCAGCCCUCAACCAAGAAGCACAGACCGCCCAGGAUCGAGGCUACCAACAAUGACCACUUCGUCUUCCAUCCAUGGUUUGUGGGUUCAAGGUUAAAUGGGUUUUGAUUUUACGCGUAUUAAUUGAUUUAGAAUCAUACUCCGUAUUACUUUGGCACUAACUACAUAUAGUUGACACUUGGUGCCUAGAUCGAGUAGGCAUAAAACCUUUUUGCCAAGUUAGAAAUCAUAUGUAUGGAGUUCUUUAUUUUAACUCACGGAAGCUUUUAUAUUUUGACAAA